AUAUUUACCUAACAGGAAAGAUACUGUAAUCUCGAAGGUAACUUUUGGCAGGGCGAGGUUUAUUCAUUGCAAUCUGAACGGGCUGCUCCAUGUGACUUCCACAAAUGUGAGAAGCUCGACUGCAUGAUUUGUGGUAGUGGGGGAGUGCGUUCGCGCUUUCCCCUC
ensembl:snRNA U1 U1 spliceosomal RNA